rnacentral:lncRNA from 1 species
AUUUAUAUAUACUAGAACACACCCGUGAUAUCGCGGGUCUGUGACUGAAUUAAAGAAUAUAACUAUGCGUAAGCCUUAUUUUAGUAUUGGUAUUGUCAUCUGAUAAAGUCAUGCCGAUUAUAAGAUGCACAGUUUUCUCUGCUUUCAACAUCUUUCUGUUUGAACCCGUCGACCUGGAACUUAUCAAUUAUUGGUAUUAUUAAUUUUAUUUGGAAAACAAAAGGGCCUGGAAAGGUUUUUUUUUAAUCAACAGCAUUGUCCUUUAUGAGUUAUAAAUAAAGUUGAAUUCUUGGAUUCGCUGUUUUACGUCAUUCCGGCUAACAAAU